rnacentral:rRNA from 1 species
AUGGAAGCGAUUUAACUUAGUGGCGAACGGGUGAGUAACACGUGAGGAACCUGCCUUUCAGUGGGGGACAACAGUUGGAAACGACUGCUAAUACCGCAUAAGACCACAGCACCGCAUGGUGCAGUGAUCAAAGGAUUUAUUCGCUGAAAGAUGGACUCGCGUCCGAUUAGCUAGAUGGUGAGGUAACGGCCCACCAUGGCGACGAUCGGUAGCCGGACUGAGAGGUUGAUCGGCCACAUUGGGACUGAGACACGGCCCAGACUCC